rnacentral:sRNA from 12 species
CACUACAGUGAUAUGGUUUCCCCGACAAGCGUAAACGAUGUUUGCACUUAGCGGGAAGGGUAAGAACCUUCGACUAAGGUUCGACUCGAGCGCCAGCGAGAGAACGUUGCCACAGGCAAUGGCGCCGAAGGGCGAGGAGAGAUAGCGACGAGUUAUCCUUCCCCCACCACCA